CUCUGAAAUCCAAGAUCGAGGUUCCCAAUAACGAUUCUAAGCGAGGUGAAAACAAGAUAUCUUCUACCAAGCUGGGUCAAUCAAGCAGGAUAUCAAAUGUACAGUCCACUAAGAGUCAUCGUGAGCAGUCAGUAGUAUCCAAAGCAAGUACUAAGUAUCAAAGAAAAAGGUUGGAAGCGCAAUUGAAAGCUGAUGAAGAGUUGGCAAGUUUAUUGAAUAAGCAGAUGGAAAUGGAAAAAAAGCUGAUAGAGGAUAGGUUGACUUUAGAACAGACAAAAUUAGAAGAACAAUAUGACGCAGUAAGUGAUGAUAUGCAGUUUAAAGACAGAAAAGAAUUGUAUUCUCAAGAUUCUUAUGAAAAGGUAGGUGAUUGGCUUACAAACAAAGUGAGAGUUGAUCGAUUUUCUGAUGAAAAAUCAGAUAAAAAGUCUUCAAAAAUGUCACACUCAUGUCAUAGUCAAUGUCAGUGUCACAUAGUUCAACCGAAAAAUGAUGUUAAUUUAGAUAUUUCAAGUAAUGAAAGUGUAUCAGGUCAUGAAAUUAAAAUGCUUUUAGCAAGGCAGGCAAUUGAAAAAGAUUUACCCAUAUUUAGCGGUGAAAUAACAGAGUGGCCAAGUUUCUACCAACAGUAUAUUUUCACGACAAAAAUGUUGGGUUUGUCAAGUGAAGAAAAUAUGUGGUGUGUUGAAGGUUUACUGUUGUCCGCUUCAUCGAUGAGGUUUCCAAUUGGGUUGUUACACUUGAAGCCAUGGAAAUGACGAAUUAUUUGAGCUGUCCGCAGUUACUUGAUGAAAUGCUACAGAAGUUACCAUUUUCAAUGCAAAUGUCCUGGGGAGAAAAGGCAGCAAAGGCAAGAGGUCAAAACACUUGGACUUCAAGAAUUGGAUUUGGGAAAAGGCAGAAGCUGCCAGCUAUGUUCAAUCAAUUGUGAAUAUUAUAACAAGUUGCUUCGAGUUACAGCCUAUAUGUUUCGAUUUAUCGAAAACAUGAAGAAAAAGGGAAGAGGUUUGGAGAAACAGAAACUCACAUGGCAAGAACUUCAGAAAGCGGAGAGAGUAUGGUGCAUGAAGGUUCAGAAGAAUUGCUUCUCAGAGGAAGUGAAAUCAUUAAAAAAGACAAACGAGGUACUGAAAAGUAUGGGCGUCGAACGUCUCUUUUCUAAUCAAAUAUCAGAAUCUCCAAUAACCCCGAGGUGUCGAAGUGUGAACAGCAGCAUGGAUUACCGAUAUUACGUCCCGGAAUAAUUGAGGCCAUCAAUGGCAUCGGAAGAGGGAUAAGCAUACAUACAGCGUAAUCCGGCCAGACUAAGGCCUUUGUAGCAGCCAGGCUAUACAAACCGACUAUUGCACCGACACCUCUGAAAGCGCUGAUAAGUACACAUUAUUACGUCGGUUAUUACGUUCUGGAUUAUAUUGUGAGCUUGCCAGAGAGGCUUAUCCAGAUGAGAAUUAUUGUAUUCUGGCUUAUGAUGUAGAUGAAUAUUGCUACUUUUCUUCAUAAAUUGGA